rnacentral:rRNA from 1 species
GAGGAAGGUGGGGAUGACGUCAAGUCCUCAUGGCCUUUAUGUCCAGGGCUACACACGUGCUACAAUGGCCGGUACAAACCGCUGCAAACCCGCGAGGGUGAGCCAAUCGGAGAAAGCCGGCCUCAGUUCGGAUUGCAGUCUGCAACUCGACUGCAUGAAGCUGGAAUCGCUAGUAAUCGCGGAUCAGCAUGCCGCGGUGAAUACGUUCCCGGGCCUUGUACACACCGCCCGUCACAUCACGAAAGUGGGUUGUACUAGAAGCAGGUGAGCUAACCGCAAGGGAGGCAGCCAACCACGGUCGGGUUAGAGACUGGGGUGAAGUCGUAACAAGGUAGCCGUAA